UUAGACGAAACCAGAAAUUUCCGACGGUUAGCACGAUCUCCUGGAAGAACGACUGCCAGGGCUCACGAUUGGAGACUGAAGACGGACGUGGGACAUGAUCGGAGUAGAGAUGGCUUCAUCACUAUUCACCCCACUCUCCAUUUACGGUUCAUAUAAAAGGAGAAAAGGGAAAGAGGAGCAGAGCAAAAUCAAACCCAGAAAGAGGAAAAAAUUAGUAUCAAAAUCGGUAUUGUGUGCAGAGCGGAUUCUCAGUCAAACCCAAAAGGCAGAGUAAAAUAGGUAUCAACUCAGGCGACAGUGUUGCAGAUUCAGUGGAGGUCAGACUUGAUAAUUGUUUCCAGAUUUCGAACAAAUCUCUCGCCACCAAUUCUAUUUGGGUUUAAUAAAUCAAGCUUAAUGGCUUCAAAGAGUUUGGAGGUACUUUACAUACUUGGGUAGUUUCUAUAUAUCUUGAAGGAAUCAGAAAAUUUUGGUUAUAGGUAUGGUUUGGUGAUUUUAUUGAUUCUUGGUUUCACGUUUUCAAAUAAUCAUAGUAACCAAUUGCUGCUCAUGAACUGUUCGUUCAAUAGGGAUUUUGUUUCUUUUUUCUUUUCUUUUUUUGUUACCGCUUGGUUUUCUUUCAAUUGUACGUUGCAGGUAAUAUUUCUGAACAUUGUGAGAAAAUGAUGUCUACUAAUGU